AUGACCCUAUGGCUCCGGAAACCUAAGGGAAAAAGGCUUAGGUUGUUAGGCAAAUGUAAAACCAAGGUUGGGCCUUGCUGGAGGAGUUUUAUUCAAAGCGAAAUGUCAAGGGGUUCCCAUACACCCAACCGCGUAAGGAACGCAAAAAUCAAGGAACAUAACACCGGUAUGACGGAAACUAGGGCGGCAAGAGUGGAACAAAACACCAGACAUAAGGCCGAGCCUUCCACCCUUUACCAAGUAUAUAGAUGCAUUAAUUUUAGUAAUAGAUAUUGUGAUAUCCCAACAUAUCCAUGUUCCAACAUGGAACAAACAUCAUCUUCACCUGCAACUAGCAACGCUAUAAGAAGGGCUGAGCAAAGCAGUAACAUAGCCAAACAACGGUUUGCUAGGAAAGGUGGGUUAGAGGCUUUGACAUGGCAAUAUGGGAGGCAUGAUAUAGCAAGUGGUAGGUAG
rnacentral:rRNA from 1 species